GUAACACCACCUUCUCCAGUGAAGGCACCACCAACACCACCUUUAGUUAAAUCACCACCUAUUGUGAAAGCACCUUCUCCACCAUUGGUGAAAACACCACCAUAUCAAUCACCACCAGUGAAACCAACACCACCUAUUGUGAAAUCACCUCCUUCUCCACCAUUGGUAAAAUCACCACCUUAUCAAUCACCACCUAUUGUUAAGGCACCUUCUCCCCCUCUAGUGAAACCAACUCCACCUAUUGUGAAAUCACCUCCUUCUCCUCCUUUGGUGAAAACACCACCUUAUCAAUCACCACCUAUAGUGAAGGCACCACCAACUCCUCCACCUAUUGUGAAAACACCUCCUUAUCAAUCACCACCAAUAGUUAAACCACCAGUUGCUCCAUCUCCACCACCUACUCCAAUAGUCAAAUCAUGGAAGGGUAAGUCAAUUUCCAUUUACAUGUCUUUAAUAUGUAACAUUUUAAUAACACAUAAGACUAUGUUCAUGUUUCUAAAUUGUGGUCUCAAUAUAAUA
rnacentral:lncRNA from 1 species